GUGGAGGCGAGCCAGCCUCUGGAACAAAAAGGCACAGACAGAAAUACUUGUCUGCUCCUCGAGCAGAAAGCUUUGCCCGGACCACCACUGCUGCGAACAGGCCAGGAGCCCACAGGCAGCUAUUUAUAACUGGUAGAGAGACAGGCCUGCUCAUCCUGCCUGAAAUCCAGCCCAGGAUGUGUUGAGGGCUUCAUUCUGUCUGCCUGAGGGGAAGGGAACUGCAGGGAGACCCUUAGCAGCCCUCUGCUUUUCUCCCCAAGACGUCAAGGUGCUUCAUUCUUCAUGUGGUCAGACACAGCUUUUGGAUGGAAUUUGAGCCACUGGCUUUGCGAGAGCUCUUCUGUCCUCACCAAGAAGGACACACAGUGGUGGUGGAGAUGCUGGAGCUGAAGCAAUAAGGACCAGGGCAGAGGAUGAGGAAGUCAGACCCUGGAUCUGGCCUGACAGCCCAGAGGCAUCCCUGCACAGCAGGCUCUGCCAACUGCAGCCUCCUCUGGCAAAGUGAAAAGGCAGCGCUGGGUGCCCGCCAGCCCUGCUGGCAUCUCUGUCAGGGGGAUGUGGUUUGUACAUGACUGUCCAUGCUGUGGAAAAAGACAUCUCCAUCUAUUUUAUGUGGGACUUCCUUCCAAGACUGAGCGAUAAUGUUCUGCCAACUUCUUUGCCAAGAUGUUUGGCUGAGAGACUAAAAUGAGCCAGAUACCAAUCUCCAGCUGGGAUUCUCCAGUUCCCAGGAGUUCAGGCAUAAGCUUACUUACAUGAACAAUGAGAUAAUGUUACUUUGAAGCUCUCUGUCCCACCAAUCCAUGUGAAAGUCAACUCAUUUCUCUAGGAAUGAUGCUGCCUCAGGCAAAGCCUGUAUGACUCAGAAGGAAAAAGUAUUAAAGUCUUAUUAAUUCCCCAACCCUGUUUACAUCUGAUCCUCUGUACUGAGUGUCAGGACCUCUCUGAGCACUCAAGCAGCAGAGUUUCAGGACUUGGGAACAAUACCAUGUAAUUUAUGAUUGCUUCCUGCCCAGUGUCUGGUCAGCACAGAACAGAACUCGAAUCUCAAAUCUCAGGGAGCACUCUGGCAACCUGCCUGCCUCUGCCAAGAGAAAACCAGGCCUGCAGCAGCUCCUCUAACUGCACACAGAGACCUGACAGCAAAGGUGCAGGCCAACUCUCAAGGCUUGCAGACAGCCAGGAUCCAGGUGCAGCGCUGCUGGGACACAAGUGUGGCUGCACAGGUGCUGAGCCUCUUUGCCUGAGCCUGAACACUCUGCCUGGCACUUGGACAUGCCACUGUGAGCCCAGUGUGUCCCUUGCUGACAACAACAUUCCCCCUCCUCGGCUGGGAUUCUGACACUUUCCUCCUUCUGCGGGUUUAGAAAUGGGAGAACUUGUUUCACCUCUGUGCAGCAGGAUUUUCAGGUCUGAUGGUGCUGGAGGAAGCUGGUGGGUAGAGCAGGGAUAGCAGUGUGGAAAAGGGGUUGUGACAUUCAGGAUGAAUGUUCCUGUUUACAAGUGCUUGUGGUGCCUUUGAAGACACCCUAAGGAGCACGCAGGCCUCCUCUCUGAACAAAAAAAGUGACACUGGGGAAGGUGCUGCCACCUCAGAGCCACUCCUUAAACCCUAAUGUGUCAAAAACAAGUGUCAGUGCUUGCAACAAAUAUUUAUACACUAAAAAUGAGCAAACACAAGCUGGUGUGAAAUCCCUGAUCACCAUGCUGGGCUGUCAGCAGUCUGGACCACAUUAAUGAAGCUGUGCUGGAGCCGAAGCACAAGGACGUGUGGAUGGGAGCCAGAGGAGAAGCUGCAGGAACACCUGGAACUCCUCACCCUGCACUGACCCUGGGAUAUUUCCCACCUCUAGACUGGGAAAAAAAAAUAAAUCCUGUUGUCCUUUGCGAAUAGUUUCUGCACACAGUGUGAUCUGUUCUCUGUUAUGCAAGAUGUGAAGUUCUCAUCUGGCCAGAAGAAUGGUUAGCAUUAAGCAUUUAAAGC